AGCGAACGCUGGCGGCAUGCCUUACACAUGCAAGUCGAACGGUAACAGGUCUUCGGAUGCUGACGAGUGGCGAACGGGUGAGUAAUACAUCGGAACGUGCCUAGUAGUGGGGGAUAACUACUCGAAAGAGUGGCUAAUACCGCAUGAGAUCUACGGAUGAAAGCAGGGGAUCGCAAGACCUUGUGCUACUAGAGCGGCCGAUGGCAGAUUAGGUAGUUGGUGGGAUAAAAGCUUACCAAGCCGACGAUCUGUAGCUGGUCUGAGAGGACGAUCAGCCACACUGGGACUGAGACACGGCCCAGACUCCUACGGGAGGCAGCAGUGGGGAAUUUUGGACAAUGGGCGAAAGCCUGAUCCAGCAAUGCCGCGUGCAGGAUGAAGGCCUUCGGGCUGUAAACUGCUUUUGUACGGAACGAAAAGCCCCGGGUUAAUACCCUGGGGUCAUGACGGUACCGUAAGAAUAAGCACCGGCUAACUACGUGCCAGCAGCCGCGGUAA
rnacentral:rRNA from 1 species